CCACCCGCAGCGCCGAGCCUCGUCAGGCGGGUGGUUCACCGGAACAGCUCCGGGCACGACGAGGACGGGGGACCCAACGCGACCGCUCCGGCGGUCUUGGGGUGAAGCCGGCUCACGCCGGCCGGGCACCUGACAGCCCGAACCCGACAGCUCACCUCGCAGGCGCCGGUCAGGAAGGAC
rnacentral:sRNA from 2 species